rnacentral:rRNA from 1 species
CAAGUACCAUGAGGGAAAGAUGAAAAGGACUUUGAAAAGAGAGUUAAAAGUGCCUGAAAUUGCUGAAAGGGAAGCGAAUGGAACCAGUGUUCUUGAUGAGAUUGCUGCGUACUCUGGUGAUUGUUGGGUGUUCCACCGCAAGGGGGGCAUCUGGUUUUGAGCUAGAUGUGCGUGGUGUUUCUUGUCUUGUGUGUCACCGUCGGUGCUCAAGCGAGGAAAACUCUAGGGAACUGGUAGCUCGCCUCCGGGUGUGUGAAUGUCCUUGGUAGUACUCAUUUGUGUAUCGAUUUUUGCGUGUCUGGUUGCAGUGUUUGAGUCGCCAGGAUGUUUUUCUGAAGGGACUUGUCCUUGAUGAAAUCCGCCUUGGCGCCUUGAGCAUCUCCCUGACACAAAGACGAUGACUAAAUGGUUCUAUUCGACCCGUC